rnacentral:misc_RNA from 1 species
GAUGAAGAACGUAGCGAAAUGCGAUAAGUAGUGUGAAUUGCAGAAUUCAGUGAAUCAUCGAAUCUUUGAACGCACAUUGCGCCCUUUGGUAUUCCAAAGGGCAUGCCUGUUCGAGCGUCAUUUGUACCCUCAAGCUUUGCUUGGUGUUGGGCGUCUUGUCUCUAGCUUUGCUGGAGACUCGCCUUAAAGUAAUUGGCAGCCGGCCUACUGGUUUCGGAGCGCAGCACAAGUCGCACUCUCUAUCAGCAAAGGUCUAGCAUCCACUAAGCCUUUUUUUCAACUUUUGACCUCGGAUCAGGUAGGGAUACCCGCUGAACUUAAGCAUAUCAAUAACGGAGGA